rnacentral:rRNA from 1 species
UACGUAGGUGACAAGCGUUGUCCGGAUUUACUGGGUGUAAAGGGCGCGUAGGCGGACCGGCAAGUCAGGAGUGAAAUACCGGGGCUCAACCCCGGGGCUGCUUUUGAAACUGUCGGCCUUGAGUAUCGGAGAGGAAAGCGGAAUUCCCAGUGUAGCGGUGAAAUGCGUAGAUAUUGGGAGGAACACCAGUGGCGAAGGCGGCUUUCUGGACGACAACUGACGCUGAGGCGCGAAAGUGUGGGGAGCAAACAGG